GUUUUGCUUCCGUCUGAAUUUGGCUUUCAGAGUACUCCCUGUCAGCAGUUGCCAUUCUGUGUGUGUGUGCUUGUCUGUUUAUCUUCGUGCGAUCUUUGUUUAAUUGCAAAUGAAGUUUGUGGGUGGUCGCUCUUGGUCGUUUUCUAUUUGUGAUGCUGCUGUUCUUGGGUUCAGAUUGCAGUGGGUGAUUGGUGAGUCUCCGUGCCUAGUUGGUUUACAUUUCUGAUCAGAUGCUCUGGUACUCGUCACAUUACUCCCAAGCGCCGCAGUUUGAGCAACCCGGAAAUGCACAG
rnacentral:lncRNA from 1 species